rnacentral:snRNA from 1 species
GAAUGAACACAGCUCUUUUAGAAUUUUUUUUUAGCAGUUUUUUUCUGACUUUGUUUGGAAAACACAC